rnacentral:rRNA from 1 species
GACGAACGCUGGCGGCGUGCUUAACACAUGCAAGUCGAACGCUGAAGCUCAGCUUUUGUUGGGUGGAUGAGUGGCGAACGGGUGAGUAACACGUGAGUAACCUGCCCCCUUCUUUGGGAUAACGCCCGGAAACGGGUGCUAAUACUGGAUAUUCACUGGUCUUCGCAUGGGGGUUGGUGGAAAGGGUUUUUCUGGUGGGGGAUGGGCUCGCGGCCUAUCAGCUUGUUGGUGGGGUGAUGGCCUACCAAGGCUUUGACGGGUAGCCGGCCUGAGAGGGUGACCGGUAACAUUGGGACUGAGAUACGGCCCAGACUCCUACGGGAGGCAGCAGUGGGGAAUAGUGCACAAUGGGCGCAAGCCUGAUGCAGCGACGCCGCGUGAGGGAUGGAGGCCUUCGGGUUGUGAACCUCUUUCGCUCAUGGUCAAGCCGCAACAAUGGUUGUGGUGAGGGGAGUGGGUAAAGAAGCGCCGGCUAACUACGU